GCUUAAGUGCAGCCAAACCCUCAGCUCAGGGAGGUGCUGUGUCCACAUGGCCUGCGAGGGGAGGCUCCAAAUGGGCCUCUGGGCUCCAGGAACACAAAACAAAGCUUGGACCACCCUGUGAAUUAAGUCAUUCUUCCUGGCCAGAAAGAGACUUAGGAAAGUAAACAUCUUGAAGCUUGUAUUGCACAGCUCUUCUUUCAAAAGUCCAAAUUAAGUGCUUGGAUGUGCAGCCUGUGCUGAGAGGUAGCAUUUGUGUGGCUGGGGUUCUUGCAAUUUCCUUUGGAGGAAUUUUCACAAAGAAAACAGAAGUUUGUGUUUUCUGACAUUUGCUUUAACCAAAAGGCAUUGUGAGGACUUUUACAGAAUACCAAUUAUCCUCACAGGUGAUGCUGUUCAUGCCUGGGAAACUGGUACCAUGAGACAGGUUGUGCUCUUGGGUGGCCAGAGAAAACCUAUCUGCCCCAUGCUGGGCUCAGGGAGAUCUGGGUGCUCCAACUGGUCCGAGUAUGGCUCAGAGGUACCACGCAACAAGCACACCUGACUGGCAGCGGAUGGACACCCGCAGCACAAAGCAAGAGGACAAGAGGGAUUUCCUGAAGCAAAUCCAGGACUUGCUGAGAGACAGACACCACCACUCUGAGCUAUAGGAGGGACAGAGCAUCUCCUAUGACUGUUUUCUGAGUGGAUCAUUGAAAGCAUGAAUGAGCAUUGUAAUGUUAUAGCACAUCUUUUCAGUGGCGUGGAGCACAAAAAUCCUAUUUUCAUAUGGCAGUAAUAUGCAGUGUUUAACAAAAAUAUAUAAAGUAAAGAAAUUCAAGGUAAAUUGGAGAGAUUUACUCUAAAUUUUUACUCAUGCUAUCUCUAAUUCAGCAGACAGGUUUUCUGCUCCUCUCUCUAGUAUGAAACAAAGGGUAUAUCUCUAAUAUCUCUAAAGCUGUACAGAACAGAAUUUAGCCACCUACACAGCUUUAAUCAAACAUCUUUCACUACUUGAAAAGGGAAUUUAUCGAGGUAACAGCUUUUAAAUUGACCACACUAGUGUUUCUGGGAUAAGCCCUCCAUCAUUUCUUGGUAUUUGUCUCCAUCUGCCACAUUAACCUUCCUCUGAUUUCUCUCCUAAAUGUCGGUUCAGCAGGGUCAGAGGCAGCCACAACGUGGCCAGGAGGACUCUGAUGUGGUGCAGCUCUUUCCUCAUUACCUGAUUUGGCACACAUUCGUGUAGCAGCUGAGACUGCUGCUCCUGAAACUUCCCCAGUUAGUUUGUCCCUUAAACAGAAGAACAGUGAAAAAUGUCACUCUUCUUGAUGAAUACAGUUCUGCCACAGAUGAUCAAAGUCCCAGUCCUGUAACUCCUCAGUAGUGUGUAUCAUCACUCUCUUUAACAUUUCUAUUGCUCUACACCACAACUAUGUAGGCAAUGUCUGUGCUGCAAACAAAAGAGGGUUAGGUACCAAUGCCUUAUCCUAAAGUCAAGUGGCUUAUUUGGUACAGCUCCUGUAUAAAUAUGUAUUUCCCAUGCUGCAAGACUACUUACUUCAGUUUACAGAAGCUGAAGGAGAGAGUAUCUGCUGUCUUUUCUAAAUUUCAGUCCGUGUAGUCCUUAGCUCUAAGUUGUUUGAAGCAUAGUGUAUAGAUGUAGCAUGUAAAAUGAAACUUCUCAUCAAACUCUUUAUUGAAAUAGUAGAUUUUAAUGCUAGGAAGAGUUCAUGCUCAAUUAA